rnacentral:ncRNA from 1 species
GUGUCGUGUGAAAAGGAGAGAAGGUUAGCACUCUCCUGGGAAAGGACGGAAUCUAAAGACACACAAAUUUUCUCUGGAUUUGUAUUUGAAAAUCCGGAAAUUUUUUUUU